UGGUCGCCGGGUGUACAGUGUUUCCUCCGACACAUUGGUGUGUCUGGCUUCCGGGUUAAGAGGGCGUUGUGUCAAGAAGCAGUGCGGCUUGGUUGGGUUGCGUUUCGGGAGGACGCAAGGCUCUCGACCUUUGCCUCUCCCGAGUCCUUACGGGUGGUUCUGUAACUACCAAUUGGAAACUAGGAAAAAGGGGUAAAAAAUACAAGUAUUUCGUAUUUUAAAUAAAAAAUAUAUUGGAGUGCAGUUCAGACCAGUGUAAUUCAAACGACAAAAUACUCAGAAGUAAUUAAAAUAUAUACUUCAGAUACAUAUAACAUAAAUACUGACCAGCUCUGUCUACCCCCCAACACACUGUCAUACUUCCUUAUUAAAGAAACCACACCCCCAGUCCAGUAGGAAGCCACUCCCCCUCCACAUACAGAGAACACAGUCCAGGAGGAAGCCACUCCCCCUCUACAUACAGAGAACCCAGUCCAGAAGGAAGCCACUCCCCCUCUACAUACAGAGAACCCAGUCCAGUAGGAAGCCACUCCCCCUCCUCUGGUGUAGAGUUCCAUGAAACAGAAAGUCAUCUUUCACACUGCCAUUGCUUAACCUACGGGAGAGAGCACCAAAAUGGCAGAGAAUCAGGAACUGUUCUGUUGCUCCAUCUGUCUGGAUCUACUGAAGGAUCCGGUGACUACUGCCUGUGGACACAGUUACUGUAUGGGCUGUAUUAAAGAAAGCUGGGAUCAGGAUGAUCUGAAAGGUUUCUACAGCUGUCCACAGUGCAGACAGACCUUUAUCCCAAGGCCUGUUCUGAAGAGAAACAUUGUGCUGACUGAGAUGGUGGAGAAACGGAAGAAGACAGGACUCCAGGCUGCUCCCCCUCCUGCUCUGUGCUAUGCUGGACCUGGAGAUGUGGCGUGUGAUGUCUGCACUGGGACCAGAAAGCAGAAAGCCCUCAUGUCCUGUCUGGCAUGUCUGGCCUCUUACUGUGAGACUCACCUCCAACCUCACUAUGAAUCUCCUGCUUUGAAGAAGCACAAGCUGGUCAAAGCCACCGCACAACUACAGGAGAAGAUCUGCUCUCAUCAUGACAAACUGCUGGAGGUUUACUGUCGUACCGAUCAGCAGUGUAUCUGUCUGCUGUGUACAAUGGAUGAACAUAAAGGCCAUGAUACAGUGUCAGCUGCAGCAGAGAGGACUGAGAAACAGAGGCAGCUGGGGAUGAGUCAGCAGAAGGUCCAGCAGAGAUUCCAGGAGAGAGAGAAGGAGCUGAAGGAGCUUCAACAGGCUGUGGAGUCUUUCAAGGUGAGUAUUGUUGACCAGAGGAGACACACCAUUUCACUUCUCUCCUCCAGUCAGAGAGAGAAAGGGGGACCUAUCCAAUCCCACUGACCCCACUGUUGGGAACAGGCUGUCUGGACCCCUUUCAGAGAAUAGACUGGUUCAUGUAACCAACUGGGCUGCCUCAUCACAUAACCAUGAGUAACCAUGACUGACUCAUGUCCCCUAUACAUUUAAAUGGAACUGUCUCUCUCUCAAUUGAAUUACAUUCAUAGGGCUUAUAUGUUAUGCAUGGAAAUAUAUGUUUACAUUGCCAAAGCAAGUGAAAUAGACAAUAAACAAAAGUGAAAUAUACAAUCAGAAAUUAACAGUAAACAUUACACUUGGAAGGGAUUUGGGGGAUGGGGGAGGGUCUAUUAGAAGUUAGUAGGACUCUUUUAUUUUCUCAGAAGUUCUGAGUUAGGUUGGAGGAUUUAGAGUGGUGUAAACCGUGAUUGAACACACUGCAGCACAGUAGGUGGCGCAAUGCACCUUUAACGUUGGUUUGAGGACCUCCAUUAUAUAAUUGAAGAAGAGGAGGGCUACAAUUCUUUUCUCUUUUGGUUUUCAAGUAUUUUCAGAAUGUAUUAAAGCCAAAGCUAAAGCUUCCCUAAACAAUUCAAUAUAUCAGUCAAUAUAUUUUCUCUGUGAUUUAUUUUCUCUCCGUCAACCUACUACCUAGUAGUUUUCACUACUAUAGACUUUGGUCAUAAUCAAAGCUUUGUUAACCAAUAAGUUUUUAUGUGAGGCUGCCUGUUGUGUAAUGACCUGACUAGAUCAUAAAGGAACAAUUGUCCAAUAAGAGGAUUGAGUUGACGGUUUAUUACCAACUUUACACCGGCUACUGUUUGGCCUUAGCUCACGCCAAAUAAAUGAAAGAUACCCCACAAGCCAAUCGGGACCUUCUCUUGUGAAGCCCAGAUGUAAGAGAGAGAACAAAGGCUAAACCUUAACUUCCAAUGCCCCGCCCCCUCCACGCCACUCCGCCAACUACCAGGAUGCCCGGCAUCAGAACAUCCCAGGCAUUCCUGUGAUUGGCAGAUAGCAGGUUGAUUGGCAUGUCGGACCCCGCGAACACUGGGAACUGCGCUCUGCACAGUCAGCAGUGGAGGACAGUGAUCAGAUCUUUACUGAGCUGAUCCGCUCCAUUGAGAGAAGGAGCUCUGAGGUGAA